rnacentral:rRNA from 1 species
CAGCAGCCACGGGAAUACGGAGGGUGCAAGCGUUAAUCGGAAUUACUGGGCGUAAAGCGCACGCAGGCGGUUUGUUAAGUCAGAUGUGAAAUCCCCGGGCUCAACCUGGGAAUGGCAGUGGAUACUGGCUCGCUAGAGUGUGUCAGAGGAUGGUGGAAUUCCCGGUGUAGCGGUGAAAUGCGUAGAGAUCGGGAGGAACAUCAGUGGCGAAGGCGGCCAUCUGGGACAACACUGACGCUGAGGCACGAAAGCGUGGGGAGCGAACAGGAUUAGAUACCCCUGUAGUCCCUGUCUCUUAUAC